UCUGCUUGUGGGGUCUUUUACCAUUCGUAAUGUUGCAGGGCUGUAACCACACAUGGGUUUUGAAAUGGUGACUGAUUGUCUAGAGCUGACCAUCAAAAUCAGACAAAAACACAUUCUUCAAAUCAAAGCUGUACACUAAAGGAGAACAGUAGAGUGGUGACAAGUGCUUCUGAGCAUUGCCUUCAGAGAGGAUAUGGGGAAAAGGCUAUUUCCAGAAGCAAGGAGAAAACUCGUGUUUCAUACACAUUUGUACAGAAAGCCUCCAUCAUUGCAUGACUAAGAAGAAGAAGGAAACAGGGAUAAAGCAACCUGCUUACAGGCAUGCUGUAGCUGUGGUGGCCAUUUUUGCAUUUUCAGCUCAAUAGAAACAAGCACCAGACAAAAGCAGUGCAGACAUUUAACAGACAGCAGCCAGGAAUGCAGUGGCCAUUUGCUGGCACAUGACCAUAACUGAGCACAACUGAAAAA